rnacentral:misc_RNA from 1 species
GAAGUGCGAAAAGUGUCAUGACUUGCAGAUUCCCGAGAGCUGACGAAUCUCUGAACGCAAAUGGCGGACCGGUAUACCCGGCCAUGUAUUACAGAGUGUAGUUGUUCCUACUCUUCAUCCCCCACACUCGCAUCUUUGCGGUGUGGUGUUUGGUAUCUGCGCUUGCAAUCACGCAUUGCGAGUGUUGAAUCGGAGUGUCUGCUAAACUGGCGAUCCAGUUUAGUGGACGACUUCGCACUUGAGUCCUCCCGUAGGCUUCAAUUGUGAGGUUGAUUUCUCUCAUUUUCACACCUACCUCUGCGAUGCAAGAUAACCCGCUGAACUUAA